GGAAACGGCCGCUAAUACCCCAUAUGCCGAGAGGUGAAAUGAAUUUCGCCUGAGGAUGAGCCCGCGUCUGAUUAGCUAGUUGGUGAGGUAAGAGCUCACCAAGGCAUCGAUCAGUAGCUGGUCUGAGAGGAUGAUCAGCCACACUGGGACUGAGACACGGCCCAGACUCCUACGGGAGGCAGCAGUGGGGAAUUUUCCGCAAUGGGCGAAAGCCUGACGGAGCAACGCCGCGUGAGGGAUGAAGGCCUUCGGGUUGUAAAGCACUUUCAAUUGGGAGGAAAGGUUCACGGUUAAUAACCGUGAGCCGUGACGUUACCUUAGAAGAAGCACCGG
rnacentral:rRNA from 1 species